CCCCAACCCGCCGAUUUUAAGGGAAGCCAGGACUAAUCCUGAGGUCCUUGAAGUUAACGACCAGGCAAACCUCCAGUGGCCCCAAGGGGUGAUUCGAACUCGAGACCUAUGAAUUUUAUCCUCCAGACUUUACCAUUCGACCACUUGUCUUGGGGUUUAGUAGCUUCUCAAUUGACAGAGGGUUUUCCAGACGAGCCUCGUAAUUCAAGCAUCCAAUCCAAACCGUUUCCGCAUCAAGUGUUGAAGAUAUGCCUCCGUCGAGAUAGUAGUUUGGGGAGAUUUGGAGCAAGAGCUUCUUUUUUAUUGUAUUUACUUUGUAUAGCCAAAGGUUUAAUUGUAUUGAGUUAGACUCUUUUUUGUUGUAACCAAGCAGUGUCUUGGAAAGAUGUAAGCCUUUAGGGCAGACGAAUGUUUGUUUUGCUUUCAUUACUUUUCACUAUUCAUAACACAUACUGUAAAUUCAGGAUGAACGAUUUAUGAAUGUAUAUCGCAUGUGUCACAUUUUUGUAUAUUAACUCUGCUUAAUGAAAGCUUCUUAUUUAUCUA